UACGGAGGAUGCGAGCGUUAUCCGGAUUUAUUGGGUUUAAAGGGUGCGUAGGCGGCUUUUUAAGUCAGCGGUGAAAUUUUGCAGCUUAACUGUAACAGUGCCGUUGAUACUGGGGAGCUAGGAUUUGCUUGCUGUGGGUGGAAUGUGUGGUGUAGCGGUGAAAUGCUUAGAGAUCACACAGAAUAUCGAUUGCGAAGGCAGCUCACAAAGCCAAGAUUGACGCUGAGGCACGAAAGUGUGGGGAUCAAACAGGA
rnacentral:rRNA from 1 species